rnacentral:ribozyme from 1 species
CAGCACAAAUUUCACAAGCAAGACCAAACAGAAAAACAAUCGUUGGAACACCUUAUUGGAUGGCUCCUGAACUUAUUCGUGGUCAGCCAU